AGAGCGAACGCUGGCGGCGUGCUUAACACAUGCAAGUCGAGCGGAAAGGCCCUUCGGGGUACUCGAGCGGCGAACGGGUGAGUAACACGUGGGUUACCUGCCUCGAUGACCGGGACAACCCGAGGAAACUCGGGCUAAUACCGGAUGUGCCCGCAAGGGGAAAGGAAGCUUCGGCCUCCGCAUCGAGAUGGGCCCGCGGCCCAUUAGCUUGUUGGUGAGGUAACGGCUCACCAAGGCUUCGAUGGGUAGCUGGUCUGAGAGGACGAUCAGCCACACUGGGACUGAGACACGGCCCAGACUCCUACGGGAGGCAGCAGUGGGGAAUCUUGCGCAAUGCGCGAAAGCGUGACGCAGCAACGCCGCGUGGGGGAAGAAGGCUUUCGGGGUUGUAAACCCCGUUUCAGUUUGGGACGAAGGCUUCUCCGGUGAAUAGCCGGAUGGAGUGACGGUACCUUCACAAGAAGCACCGGCUAACUACGCGCCAGCAGCCGCGGUAA
rnacentral:rRNA from 1 species